rnacentral:lncRNA from 1 species
AUUUAAAGCAUUCAUCAGGGUUCAGGUAAAAAGUCAAGAAUUCUGACAUUUUAUCCGACUUUGAUAAUACUCAUUCAGUUGUCUGUUGAUUAAGAAGUCAAAAGACAUUUGUCGUGUAUUUCAUCAAUUUAAAGCAUUCAUCAGGGUUCAGGUAAAAAGUCAAGAAUUCUGACAUUUUAUCCGACUUUGAUAAUACUCAUUCAGUUGUCUGUUGAUUAAGAAGUCAAAAGACUUGAUUU